UACGGGGGGGGCAAGCGUUGUUCGGAAUUACUGGGCGUAAAGGGCGCGUAGGCGGCUCUUCAAGUCAGUCGUGAAAUCUCCGGGCUUAACCUGGAAGGGUCGAUUGAUACUGUCGAGCUAGAGUGCAGAAGAGGCAACCGGAAUUCCGUGUGUAGCGGUGAAAUGCGUAGAUAUACGGAGGAACACCUGCGGCGAAGGCGGGUUGCUGGGCUGACACUGACGCUGAGGCGCGAAAGCUAGGGGAGCAAACAGG
rnacentral:rRNA from 1 species